rnacentral:lncRNA from 1 species
AGCAGAUUCAGGAAUUGACAGGAUGCAUUCAAAAAAAGAGAAGAGUGGUUGAAUGGGUGGUGGAAGAAACUAGGAUAUAAAACGUUAUCAGUUCUGAGAAAACUUCAAAAGUCAUCAUUAUCAUCAUCAUCACUAUCAUCAGCAUUAUCAUCAUCACCAUUAUCAUCAUUGUCAUGAUCAUGGAAUUUACUCUGUUAAAAGCACCAGUUUUAUCAAGGUUUUGAAAAUGGUGAUAGCACAGAUUUCCUUUUCCGUAGCUUGUGUUUAACGGAUGAGAAAAUGUGAAGCACCUGGGCCGGUGGAGUGAAAGGGAGAGUUAUCACCACAGAAAAUGGAUGUUUCAACAGGAAGAAGGAAUGGUACGCCAAAGAUAAACUUCAUCAAUUGCAUAAUUUUGCUUCGAUCUGCCACCUAUUACUCAAUGUGAAGAUGAUGAGGAUGAAGACCUUUAUGAUGAUCCACUUCCACUGAAUGGAUGUUGCAGUGCUUAACCUUGAAAGGAACUCCCAUCACCUAAUUUCAAGGAGCACCAAAACUAAUGGAGGGAAUAAAUGCAUUAAUCACAAAUGCAAAUGUACAGAAUACAUGAAAAGGAAGAAGGGACAGCUAUUUCAAACCCAAGUCAGUUACAAAUGGCUUCCCAGAGGAAAUGACAGCGGACUGAAUUUCAGUAGCUACGACAACUAUGAAAAAAGAAAACUCAAAUAAAGUCAGAAAUUGAAAAGGAGAUAUUGUGACUGAUACCACAAAAAUAUAAAGUACCAUAACAGAUUACUACAAUUACACACAAUAAAUUGGGAAACAGAAGAAAUUGAUAAAUGUUUGACACAUACAACUUACCAAGAUGGAAUCAUGAAGAAACAUAAAAUUCAAACAGAUCAAUAAUGAAUAAUGAUAUCAAAGUAGUAAUAAAAUGUCUCCUAACAAAGAAAAUCUCAGGACAUGAUGGCUUCACUGCUGAAUUUUACCAAAGAUUUAAAGAACAAAUAGAGACACUACUGGAACUAUUUCAAAAAAUUGAAGAGGACGGAACACUUCCAAACUAAUUCAAUGAGAUCAAUGUUUCCCCCAGUACCAGUCAAGGACAUAACAAAAAAAAGAAAACUGCAGGCUAAUGUCCUGAUGAACAGAGAUGCAAAUAUCCUCAAGAAAAUAUUAGCAAACCAACUUAAACCACACAUUAAAGAACUCAUCACCAUGAUCAAGUGGAUUUCACCUCAAGAAUGCUAGCAUGGCUCAAUAGACAUAAAUCCAUAAGUGUGAUACCUCACAUUAAUAAAAUCAAGGACAAAACCAUAUGAUUAUUUUAACAAAUGCUGAGAAAGGAUUUGAUAAAAUUUAGCAUCCCUUUAUGAUAAAAACUUUCAGCAAACUUGGUAUAGAAAGAACAUACCUAAACACAAUAAAACCAACAUAUGAAAAACUCACAUCUAACAUCACACUAAAUGUGGAAAUUUUGAAAAAGCUUGUCCUCUAAGAUCUGGAACAAGACAAGGAUGUCCACUUUCAUGAUUUUCAUUCAACAUAGUACUGGAAGUCCUAGCCAGCAUAAUUAGGUAAGAGAAAGAAAAAAAUGAUAUCCAAAUUGAAAAUGAGGAAACAAAAUUGUCCCUGUUUGCAUAUGACUUUAUCAUAUGUGCAGAAAUCCCUAAAGAUUCUACCAAAAACCUGUCAGAAAUAAUAAGUAAAUUUAGUAAAUUUUCAGGUUAUAAAAUCAACAUACAAAAAUCAGUAAUGAGUUCCUAUGUUCCAACAGUAAACUACCUAAAAAGGAAAUCAAGAAAAUAAUCCAAUUUACAAUAGCUACAAAAAAGUAAAAUACCUUGAAAUUAACUUAAUCAAGGAGAUUAUAAAUAUCAGCUAUGAAAACUGUUAAAAGAACAUUGAUACCAAAAAUUAGAGAGGGCACAAAUAAGAUGGAAAGAUAUUCUUGUGUUCAUGGAUUAGGUCAAUAUUGUUACAAUGUCCAUGUUACCCAAACCUCAUUUUCCAGUCCUCUGAAGCCAGUUUCACAAAUUCAGACAUAAAUAAGUCAGAUGAACUCUUUCUGAAUCUCUAACUCAUAAUUAUUUAGGAAAAAUAAAAUAAUUUUAAAUCCUUACGUUUCAGAGUGUUUUGUUAUUAAUUAUCCAUAUGGUACAUUUUAACUGGAAGAAAGAUGUUACCAUAAUAAGCCAGUGAGAGGAACCUGGAAGGGACAUAGGAAACUAUUGGGGAGACUAGAAAGAAAGUCAGGAAAUUGUAUUCAGACUAGAGAAAGAUGGCCAUCUUCAGCAUUAUUGCAAAGUCUAGUGAAGCUGGUACCUGUGGUAACAUGGAAAAUAGAAAAUUGUUUUUAGCAAAUCGAUAGACCUAGAGAAGGAGAUAUUCAGAUAGGAAGUUGAAAAUGUCAAGUGUUUUGUGAAGCUAUUAAGAAAUAAAAGAAUUUACAGAGGUCCUGGAGGAUGAAACUUUGUAGAGAAAGAAAAAAUCUAAGGAGCCCCAAGGCACCUGACACAUUAGUAAAAGACUAUAUUGAAAGCAGAUCUUCCAGCUUCAGUAGCCCCAAAUGACAACACGUUCAGAUACACAUCACUCAAUUACCACCCUGCAAAUUCAUCCUCUUUAAAUUGUAAGCAAAAAUAAAUUAUUUUAAGCCACUUAGUUUCAAGUGUUUUUAUGCAG